GGAUAUAGCUCAGUGAUAGAGCAUGUGCCUAGCAUGCACGAGGUCCUGGGUUCAAUCCCCAGUACUUCCA
rnacentral:tRNA from 1 species